UAACGGAGUUAACGACUUUAAGUAUGAAUAUUCGGUGAGGGUAAGAACUUUAGGUAUCAUUAUGAUAUGUUUCAAAUUUAAGAUACGAAUGUCUAGAAUGGCUGAAGCGUCAAGUACUACGGACGAUUUUUCCUAAAAUAAAAUAGCGAGGUUUCCUUCCCGAGUGUACCAAAAUAAAAAAAGAGAAAAACCUUCCCAAAAGUGUACCAAAAUAAAAAGAGAACAAAAAAAUAAAGAUAAAAGAGGGUGGCAACUUUGGGUUUGGACUGGGUACGAAACGACGUGGUUUCAUAGAACGGUUAUAAGUAGGCUCUGCCCUUUCCUUCUCUUUCCUCUGUUCUCCGUUGGUUCGGCUAUACGCACUGAGCCAGUGAUCACGACGAUUCUACGAACCGCCGCCUCUACCACCGAAGACCUGCCAACACCUCCGUCUCUACCACCGCCUCCGACCGUCGUACCUCCUUCAGCGAUGGCUGCUUUCACUUCCAUCAGAUCUUUUUGGCACUUGUUGCUUCAGCUGCUGGAGCUUACCUGCAUCUUCUCUGGAACAUCCCAAGCUACAUCAUUCUCCUUGCAUUUGAAGGAGUUGCUCUGGCCGUCUGUGGGUAUUUAGCAGCUGCAGAUUUCUUCUCAAAGCCCAGAUCAGAAUUUGUCAUUGAGAAACUUUAUCGUUAUGGGUUGUGGUUUAUGGUUAUGGCUAUGGUUGGAUGUUUCACUGAGGACACCUUUACAUUUGGAAAGAGAAUGCUCCUUGGUGGUUCCCUCCCUCACCCGACUCCUGUGUAUGACAUCGUUGCCAUUACAUAUCUUCUGCGAGCAGUUAAGUGGAAUGACUCAAGGUUGGAAAACGUCCUGAAGAAGAAGAAGAUGGCGGCUGCUGAGAAGCUUGGUGGGCUUGGUGGGUGCACUAGUGCAAGUUCCACCUGAACUAACAAUUUCAUGUGCCUUUUAAACCGGAUUGAAUUGCUCAGGCUGCACUGCCUUCUGUUUAAUUUUUGUUUUCCAGCCUACUCUUUAAUGCUGUGAUUUCUACAUUUUGUAAUGGGUUUCCUUGUGGGCGGCCACAUACGGCUUACCACUAUUGAGUGUUGGUGUGUCUGUGUGAUGUUCUAGCCUCAGGGAGAUUGGAUUGAAGUGGUAGGCUUGUUAAUUUUUCAGUAAGCAAUAGUGUGUAUCUAACCCCAGAUGUCAGUACUUACUUUCUGUUGAGACUAGAGAAUCUUGCUGAUGGUAUGCAGUGUAUAUCCUCUUUUAGUCUUUGUAAAUGUAAAUCUUCAGUGUGUGUUGUUUUUUCUUUUCUUUCUCCAGAGCUAUUAAUCUAGCAUUAUUAUAAUGAACAUUGAUGACAGGACUGGAGAACUUUUGGAGAAUGAGAAGGGAUGGAAGGUUCUUCAA